rnacentral:rRNA from 1 species
CCGGCUGCUCGACUGAAGCCGGACGUCCAGGAUGCGAGUGCCAGUGGGCCACUUUUGGUAAGCAGAACGGCGCUGUGGGAUGAACCAAACGCUGGGUUAAGGCGCCCGAUGCCAGACGCUCAUCAGAUCCCAUGAAAGGUGUUGGUUGCUAUAGACAGCAGGACGGUGGCCAUGGAAGUCGGAAUCCGCUAAGGAGUGUGUAACAACUCACCUGCCGAAGCAACUAGCCCUGAAAAUGGAUGGCGCUGUAGCGUCGAGCCCAUACCCGGCCGCCCCGGCUGGGCACGGAAGCUUAGGCCGGGGUGAGUAGGAGGUGUCGCAGCGGCGUGCGUUGAAGGUGCCGGGCGUGGGCCCGCCUGGAGCCGCCGCUGGUGCAGAUCUUGGUGGUAGUAGCAAAUACUCAAGUGAGAACCUUGAGGACUGAGGUGGAGAAGGGUUCCAUGUGAACAGCAGUUGAACAUGGGUCAGUCGGUCCUAAGGGAUAGGAGAAAUCCGUUCCGAAGCGGGACCUGCGUGCACCGUGAGGUCCCGUGGUCGACCGAAAGGGAAUCGGGUUAAUAUUCCCGAACUCGGACGCGGAGAUCGGCCCCUCGGGGUCAACUGCGGUAACGCAACCAAACUCGGAGACGUCGAUCGGGGUCCCGGGAAGAGUUGUCUUUUCUUUGUAAGGGAUCGGCUCCCUGGAAUCGGCUCGCCCGGAGAUAGGGAUGCUGUUCCCGUAAAGCACCGCGGCUCUUGCGGUGUCCGGAGCGCUCCGGUCGGCCCUUGAAAAUCCAGGGAGAGUGUGAUUUUCGUGCCGGACCGUACCCAUAUCCGCAGCAAGUCUCCAAGGUGAACAGCCUCUAGUCAAUGGAAAC